rnacentral:tRNA from 1 species
GGCUUUGAAGUAUAUAUUACGUUGAAUUGCAAAUUCAAAAAAGUAGCUUAAGUGCUGCCGGAGCU